GUGGGGAAUCUUGCGCAAUGGGCGAAAGCCUGACGCAGCCAUGCCGCGUGAAUGAUGAAGGUCUUAGGAUUGUAAAAUUCUUUCGCCGGGGACGAUAAUGACGGUACCCGGAGAAGAAGCUCCGGCUAACUUCGUGCCAGCAGCCGCGGUAAUACGAAGGGGGCUAGCGUUGCUCGGAAUUACUGGGCGUAAAGGGCGCGUAGGCGGACAGCUUAGUCAGAGGUGAAAUCCCAGGGCUCAACCUUGGAAUUGCCUUUGAUACUGGCUGUCUUGAGUUUGGGAGAGGUGAGUGGAACUCCGAGUGUAGAGGUGAAAUUCGUAGAUAUUCGGAAGAACACCAGUGGCGAAGGCGACUCACUGGCCCAAUACUGACGCUGAGGCGCGAAAGCGUGGGGAGCAAACAGGAUUAGAUACCCCAGUAGUCC
rnacentral:rRNA from 1 species